AGUUGGAAUCCGCUAAGGAGUGUAUAACAACUCACCUGCCGAAGCAACUAGCCUUGAAAACGAAUGGCGCUGAAGCGUCGCGCCCAUGCUCUGCCGUCAGCGGCAGGUGUGGCGGUUAGUCCGGGUUUACUCGGGCGCCGCUAUGAAGCCCUDACGAGUAGGAGGGUCGCGGCGGUGUGCGCAGAAGGGUCUGGACGUGAGCUUGCCUAGAGCUGCCGUCGGUGCAGAUCUUGGUGGUAGUAGCAAAUACUCCAGCGAGGCCCUGAAGGACUGACGUGGAGAAGAGUUUCGUGUGAACAGCCGUUGCACACGAGUCAGUCGAUCCUAAGCCCUAAGAGAAAUCCUAUGUCGAUGAUGGUGUGCAGACAAAAUGUUGUUUUAUUAAUAACGACACACGUCCGUCGGGCGAAAGGAAAUCCGGUUCCUAUUCCGGAACCCAGCAGCGGAACCGCUUGCAAAUCGGGCCCUCGUAAGAGAGUUCGUCGGGGUAACCCAAAAUGACCAGGAGACGCCGUCGAUAGAUCCGGGAAGAGUUUUCUUUUCUGUAUAAGCGUUUAAAUUCCCUGGAAACCUCUAGCAGGGAGAUAGGGUUUGGAACGCGAAGAGCACCGCAGUUG